rnacentral:tRNA from 1 species
GUCUGUGGCUUAGUGAUAGAGCGCUUGCCUAGCAUGUGUGAGGUCCUGGGUUCGAUCCUCAGCAUCACA